AUUUUUACCUGGCAGAGGAAAUACCAUUAUCACGAAGGGUGGCUUUCCCAGAGCAAGACUGAUCCAUUGCACUCCAGAUGUGCUGACCCCUGCGAUUUCUUCAAGUAUGGGAAACUCAACUACAAAAUUUAUGGUAGCGGGGGACCACGUUCACCCUCU